CUUUUUGAAUGAUUCUGUCUUCAGAAAGAGAUAAAAAGAAAAGUGAGUUUGGAUUUUGAGGAUACUUCACCAGCUUGGAAUGCUGAGCACAUUAUGCAUAAAAUAUCCCCACAGAAUAAACCAAUAAAUUUGCUACUGGUGUCUGUGGGGUGAAGUGCUGUUGGAAAACAGACUGAGUUGAAGAAAUCUGCUCACCUCUUCUGUCAGUGCUAAGGAUUUACCAUACUAAACCACGAGAGAGGGGAGAAGACCAAAAAGGGGAAGAUUGCACAUCUGGGAAGAGAAGAAAAAUUUGACUAAUGUUGGAAAGGAAACUGUCCAGGGAAAUAAGAGGCAACAUUGAGGGAAGA
rnacentral:lncRNA from 1 species